rnacentral:rRNA from 1 species
GACGAACGCUGGCGGCGUGCUUAACACAUGCAAGUCGAACGGAAAGGCCCUGCUUUUGUGGGGUGCUCGAGUCGCGAACGGGUGAGUAACACGUGAGUAACCUGCCCUUGACUUUGGGAUAACUUCAGGAAACUGGGGCUAAUACCGGAUAGGAGCUCCUGCUGCAUGGUGGGGGUUGGAAAGUUUCGGCGGUUGGGGAUGGACUCGCGGCUUAUCAGCUUGUUGGUGGGGUAGUGGCUUACCAAGGCUUUGACGGGUAGCCGGCCUGAGAGGGUGACCGGCCACAUUGGGACUGAGAUACGGCCCAGACUCCUACGGGAGGCAGCAGUGGGGAAUAUUGCACAAUGGGCGGAAGCCUGAUGCAGCAACGCCGCGUGCGGGAUGACGGCCUUCGGGUUGUAAACCGCUUUCGCCUGUGACGAAGCGUGAGUGACGGUAAUGGGUAAAGAAGCACCGGCUAACUACGUG